AGAGUUUGAUCCUGGCUCAGGAUGAACGCUAGCUACAGGCUUAACACAUGCAAGUCGAGGGGAAACGACAUCGAAAGCUUGCUUUUGAUGGGCCGUCGACCGGCGCACGGGUCGAGUAACGCGUAUCCAACCUGCCCACCACUUGGGGAUAACCUUGCGAAAGUAGGACUAAUACCCAAUGAUAUCUCUAGAAGACAUCUGAAAGAGAUUAAAGAUUUAUCGGUGAUGGAUGGGGAUGCGUCUGAUUAGCUUGUUGGCGGGGUAACGGCCCACCAAGGCCAACGAUCAGUAGGGGUUCUGAGAGGAAGGUCCCCCACAUUGGAACUGAGACACGGUCCAAACUCCUACGGGAGGCAGCA
rnacentral:rRNA from 1 species